rnacentral:lncRNA from 1 species
CAGACGCAACUUGACAGUUGAGAGGCAAUAGAAAAAGUCUAUUGCCCCUCAACUCCAGAUGGCACUAGCUACGGGGAUGGAUCGGCCUUGGGGCCUUCUGACUGUUUUUUCUUUUUUUUAUUAUGUGAUACCUUCGUCCUGUAGCCUGAUAUUCACUGCUUGUAUUCACGUUUUUUUCCCUUAGUUAUUUUAUUGAGGUAAAAUCUUUCAGUGGGUACUAAUUGCAAAUGCAUUCUUUUCUUCAGAGUCGUGUGUGUCAUAAGAUGAUGCUUUUUUGGUAUUAUUUAGAUUUUUUUGAUAGUUUUAAAUGAUAAAUGUCAUUUCAAAUGACAUUGAUUGAUGACAAAUAUGGUACCUAAAGCAUCAUCUUAUGACACAUUGACACGCACGAUUCUGGAGAAAUAAAUGCGUUUGCAAUAACUACAGAAGGAUUUUAUCUCAAUAAAAUAGCUAACAAAAAAAAACAAACCUGAAUAUCAGCGGAAAGAUUGCAAGAAGGUUUCACAUAAUAACGAAAAGAAAAAAAAAGGUUAGAAGUUUACCCUUCUCCGUUACUAGUGUCCUCUGGAGUUGAGGGGCAAUAGACUUUUCUUUUUAUUUUGUCGUUGUUUUGUAGCUUCUUACCCCCAUUGAAGAAUUGAUAAUGCAUAUCAGUCUGUGUGUCAGCAAGGUUUUUAAUAAUCUUGUCGUCAAAGAAGAAUCGUGGUAUGGCUUAUUAAAAAAGGUGCUACAGAAUCAAAUCAAUAGGAACAGUAAUGUGACAGUCAAGUUAGUGGAUUUAGCUGAGCUAGAGCUACUAAAAGAAGAAAACCAAAGACUGCAAAAGAAAUAAUAUUAAAAAUGGGGAAACCACCAUAUUGCAAAGAAAUCUCCAAACUGUUUAGGCAGCUAUGUGGAAAAGAGAGAUUGAAGUGUAUCAGCAGCUAGCCUCCUUAAAAGAAAAAGAAUUAGAUUUCAAGGAGUUACAUAACAAGUGCAAGAAGAUUGAACAAAAUGUGAAAGAGCAACAGAAGAAUAAAAGACUUCCAACCUCCACCCAAGAAUCAUCAAGCAAAAGAAAAUUCUUAAACAGUUCUUUCUUUUUCCGUCCGGAGCUUACAAAAGCUGAUUGGUUCUGACAGCUAUUUCUAAUUCAACUGUUAUGGAGCUUUAAAAACUACAAAUGAUUUCCGGUGGGGUCCAAGAAAAUUUUAUAGACCUAUUCCAUGGCAGUGAAUAUGGUAUAGCCGAAAUGGACUACACAGUUUCCCGAUAUGGAUUCUAUAAAAAAUGUGUUUUUUACCGUUACCCUUUUACAACGACCAGUGGACCGACGCACCGACCGACACUUUUUCUGAGAUUUAACCCCAUAGAUGGCACUGUGUUCGGAGUGUCGGCACUAAUCUCUCUCUCAGGAGCAGUGUUUCCUAUCUUUUUUUUAAGUCCAAAAAGAUAAGAUAAGUUACUUCACCUCCAUUUUUUGAAAAGAUAAGAUAAGGUAAUGGGAAAAAAUGAGUUGAAAAGAUAAGAUAAAGAUAAGAUACCGAUAAGAUACAAGAUACUUUCAAAGAUACAUGUUUCAAAAAACAAUAUGAAAGAAGCGUAGCAAAGUUUAGAAAUCAUUUAGUCAGUGUUGUUUGCUAAAUUUCUGUAUUUUUUCCAUUACAUGGUGAGCAUAUUGAUGAAAUGGAAACGAAACGAGAAAAUGAAAUGUUUCAUCAAAAAAUAUAAUAAACCAAUUAACAAAAGUU